AACAGAAUAAUAAUAACAAUAAAUACCAACUUCUUGGCAGUUGCACACUUUUAUGAACAUAGAUAGAUAGAGUUACCAAUUCACUCCUGCUGUGGAAAUUGUACAUGGUUGGAAUAGGAAAAGCAUAAACAGAAAAUGACCUAAGUUCUUAUCCCCUAGAUCAAUACUCAGGCAAGUUGAUCCCUGCUCAACAAUAAAAGAAAACAUGAUCCUCAUAGGAUGCCAAAGAAAAACAGUUAAAAGAUAAAGAGUAGCCAUGAAACUACAAGCAUAUGAAGAUAACAAGAUUGAUCAGCAAUGUACCUACAACCACCUAGCCACUGCAAACUUCAAAUUUUAGAUCUUUAUACUCAUUUUACUAAAAUCCACUAAGGAAUGAGGAGAAAAACCGAGAAGCAGCUUCGGCAGCAUCCAAAGUAGAAUCACCUCCUCAUGUAGUGGAUCCAAUGAUCAUGAUUCAAACCUGCAUCUCAGCUUUCUUUACUUGCCAAUUGGUGCUUUACACCAAAACUCCUCAUCCAAGGCUUGGGUUUGCAAAAAUUGAGCAGUAAAUAGUACUAUUAUCAACUACAUAGGCUCAGCUUGCUACCUUUUUCCUGACUAUUCUUUUUCUUCGAGCCUUAGGAGCUGAUGUUUCACCCUCAGUCGUUGAGCCACUCUGACCUUGUUUGAUACCCAAAAGCCCAAGCCCGGAAACAAUGGAAUUCUUGGAUAUGAACCAUUUUGAAGAUGACUGCUCAACCCCUCCUUCAGUAGGCCUACUGUAUGCCUUCAAGACAUCAUCUGAAUGAGCCAGUGGAUCCACCUCCACACCAAGCCAAGCUAAUCUUGAUGUCUCUCCUACUUGAACAUUCAACACUCUCAUGGCAGUGCUGAAGACGAGAGCCACCCCAAUAACAUCAAAGUAGUUAAAAACAGCUCUGUCAAAUCCAUUCAACAGCUGAUAACGCAGGUUUGCAUAUACACCAAGGAAGGCCCCAUAACCAAGUGCAUUACUACUCACAGAUGGGAUAGACACUGAUAACCUUCCCUCCUUUUUAUUGGCAAGAAGAUUUGAAAGAGCACCCUGCACAGCUCCUGCACUGAGGCCAAUCAUACACAACUCUGCAGCCUUAUAGAAAAAGGAAUGAAUUCUCUUCUGCAAGUCAAAUUCUCUUAAAGGGUAACUCUUCUCAAAGAUAUUGUUCGGCAGCUUCUGUAAAGUGUUCUGCAAAUCGAAGCGGAAAGUAUUCCCAUAGGAUUGACAAGGAGCAAGCGUCCAAAACACAGCAGCAUUGCAAGCCAUUGCAGUUAGGACGUUAAGAAGGGCAAGAUCCCACUCCUGCUUAAUCCUUUCUUUACGGUUUUUUACCUCCCACCACACUGAGCAACCAAUUGUAAGUGCCUGAUCCAGAAGCAGCUUGCUCAAAAAAGCUGGAUCUGCUAUCUUCCUGCCAUUGAACGCCCUACAUAAUCCUUCAGGAAGUAACCGAGAAAUAAAUCUAGCCACGGUAGGCCUGGCAUUGUAGGCAAGAAAGUUCACCAAUUGAGCAGAACUGACUAAUCCCAUUUCAUAGGCUUGCCGAAGUCCAGGUGGCAAAUCCAGCAUUGUCUUCUGCCACUCAUUCAGCACGGCGUCAACAAAUUUACGAUCAAACAAUUCCUGCAGUAGCAUUCGUCUCCUAAAGAGCCCACCCUCAUCUCCUUCAUCACCAUCAUCGAAAUCAUCAAAGUAAUCGUCAUCAUCACCAUCAUCGUCUCCACCAUCACCACCACCAUGAUUAAUUUUCUUGCCAAUAUCUCCA
rnacentral:misc_RNA from 1 species